rnacentral:misc_RNA from 1 species
UAAUAAGUGUUUUAUGGCACUUUUUAAAUCCAUAUCCACCUUGUGUGCAAUGUCAGUCGAUCUUCUUCAUGGAGAUCGACCAAACAUCAACCUUUAUUUUUUAACUCUUUGUCUGAAAAAUAUUAUGAGUAAACAAUUCAAAAUA